AUACGUAGGGAGCGAGCGUUGUCCGGAAUUACUGGGUGUAAAGGGCGCGUAGGCGGGAGUGCAAGUCAGAUGUGAAAUACAUGGGCUCAACCCAUGGGCUGCAUUUGAAACUGCAUUUCUUGAGGGAAGUAGAGGUAAGCGGAAUUCCUGGGGUAGCGGUGAAAUGCGUAGAUAUCAGGAGGAACACCGGUGGCGAAGGCGGCUUACUGGGCUUUUACUGACGCUGAGGCUCGAAAGCGUGGGGAGCAAACAGGAUUAGAUACCCUGGUAGUCCACGCUGUAAACGAUGAUUACUAGGUGUGGGGGGACUGACCCCUUCCGUGCCGCAGUUAACACAAUAAGUAAUCCACCUGGGGAGUACGGCCGCAAGGUUGAAACUCAAAUGAAUUGGCGGGG
rnacentral:rRNA from 1 species